GAUGAACGCUGGCGGCGUGCCUAAUACAUGCAAGUCGAGCGAACGGACGAGAAGCUUGCUUCUCUGAUGUUAGCGGCGGACGGGUGAGUAACACGUGGAUAACCUACCUAUAAGACUGGGAUAACUUCGGGAAACCGUAGCUAAUACCGGAUAAUAUUUUGAACCGCAUGGUUCAAAAGUGAAAGACGGUCUUGCUGUCACUUAUAGAUGGAUCCGCGCUGCAUUAGCUAGUUGGUAAGGUAACGGCUUACCAAGGCAACGAUGCAUAGCCGACCUGAGAGGGUGAUCGGCCACACUGGAACUGAGACACGGUCCAGACUCCUACGGGAGGCAGCAGUAGGGAAUCUUCCGCAAUGGGCGAAAGCCUGACGGAGCAACGCCGCGUGAGUGAUGAAGGUCUUCGGAUCGUAAAACUCUGUUAUUAGGGAAGAACAUUUGUGUAAGUAACUGUGCACAUCUUGACGGUACCUAAUCAGAAAGCCACGGCUAACUACGUG
rnacentral:rRNA from 1 species